rnacentral:misc_RNA from 1 species
AACAUCGCGCACCUGCGGGAACCUGCGGAGGGAUCAUUAAUGAUUGGUGGCUGUUGCUGACUAGUGUUUCUAGUAUGUGCACGCCACACCUUCAAUCCCACUUACACCCGUGCACCUUCUGUAAUAGAUCUAUGUGGAUACGGAGAUAUGAAAGUUUGCGCUCUCGUACUCUGUUGAAGCAGUCUACUACGUUUUUUUACACACACACAAUAGUCAUUGAAUGUAUUUUUUAUUCUUAUG